UUGCGGACAUAUCUCGUUGAAACACCGGUUUUCGUACGAUCACCGAAGUUAAGCAACGUUGAGCCUGGUCAGUACAUAAAUAGGUAUCCACCUGGGAAUACCAGAUGAUGUAGG